AACGAACGCUGGCGGCAGGCUUAACACAUGCAAGUCGAACGCCCCCUUCGGGGGGAGUGGCAGACGGGUGAGUAACACGUGGGAACCUACCUAUCAGUACGGAACAACUCAGGGAAACUUGUGCUAAUACCGUAUACGUCCUUCGGGAGAAAGAUUUAUCGCUGAUAGAUGGGCCCGCGCUAGAUUAGCUAGUUGGUGAGGUAACGGCUCACCAAGGCGACGAUCUUUAGCUGGUUUGAGAGGAUGAUCAGCCACACUGGAACUUAGACACGGUCCAGACUCCUACGGGAGGCAGCAGUGAGGAAUAUUGGACAAUAGGCGAAAGCCUGAUCCAGCGACGUCACGUGAAUGAUGAAGGCCUUAGGGUUGUAAAAUUCUUUUAGUGGAGAAGAUAAUGACGGUAUCCACAGAAAAAGUCCCGGCUAACUUCGUGCCAGCCGCCGCCGUAAAAC
rnacentral:rRNA from 1 species